CCCUAACCCUAGAAAAAUGGUUUCAGCCGCCAUGUAUGAAGUCGUCCCCCCUAGUCUACUGUUCCGAUCAACUGGGUAGCCAUCGUCCACCGUUGUUGAUGAGCACCAUAACAGUGAUGUCGGAGACGUCAUGAACAACACGAAUAAUCACUGAGGAUCGAUCUUUGGAGCAGCGUUUGUCAACUGUUAGGUGUGAAUGAUCGAGAAACGGACGUUCGGGAAUCUGUCAGCCAGCAGCUGGGGUGGAGUCUGCGGGACUUCAGCAGUGUGGGAUUGUGUCUGCGGGACUUCAGCAUUGUGAGGUGAGUUUCCUUCCAGUAGGAACGGGUCUAAGGCCACAAUGCCGGCCCGUCUAGUUAGCAGUAGUUUCCAGACUUCGGUCCGAUGCAGUAGUUACUAUGUUUGAUGCCUUCGUGUCUCAGAAAUGAUUUAUGUGUUAUGCGUUAUGUGUUCCGGGCAGCGGCCCGAUGCAGUAUGCAGUAUAUGUGUUUAUGCUAAUUGAUAUGCUAUGCUAUGUUUAGUCAGUUUCCGGACUUCGGUCCGAUGUAGGGGGCAAGGCGCCAGUUAGUCCGGACUUCGGUCCGAUGCAGGGGACGGGGUCCCAGUCAGUUUCUGGACUUCGGUCUGAUGCAGGGGGCAAGGCCCCAGUUAGUCCGGACUUCGGUACGAUGCAGGGGACGGGGUCCCUGUCAGUUUCCGGACCUCGGUCCGAUGCAGUGGGCAAGGCCCAGUAUGUGCUUUAUAUGUAUUGUAUGGUACUCAGUUUUCAAAAGAGGAGCUCAGAAAGAUUGAAGUGCACACACCGUCUGUUCAGCCUGGGAUGUUUAUACUCUGAUAUAUUUGACAGUUGUUUUGAGAUAAAUUCUUUAUGACUCUUAUAUGACGUUUGAUGAAUAUGGUUUUAUUACUAAUUUUAAAACGAAAUUUUCA